CCUUGUUGGUGUAGGAUGAUUAAUCAUGCUUUCCAGCAUGUUUGUUGCUACAAUCACUGGUUUCUGCAUGCUGUGACACCUUCUAAUGAUAUCUUCCUGCAAUAACUUCCUCAAUUGGAAGUUCAGCACCAAGGUCUCCACGAGCAACCAUUGCCCCAUCUGAUGCAGAAAUUAUUGAAUGAAGAUUUGGUAUAGAGUCAGCACUUUCAAUUUUUACAAUCACAUGAAUGUCAGCAUUGCUUCUUUUGAGAUAAUCUUUCAAUUCAUGGACCACUUUAGCAUCCUUCACAAAGGAGACAGCAUAGAAAUCAACUUGGUUGUCCACCCCAAAUUUGAUAUCUUCCCAGUCUUUAUCUGUAAUUGAAGGAAGAUUUGCACUUUUUCCACGCACAUUUAAAUGCCGCCUGGAUUUUAGU
rnacentral:misc_RNA from 1 species